AUUGAACGCUGGCGGCAGGCUUAACACAUGCAAGUCGAGCGGAGAUGAGGUGCUUGCAUCUUAUCUUAGCGGCGGACGGGUGAGUAAUGCUUAGGAAUCUGCCUAUUAGCGGGGGACAACAUUCCGAAAGGAAUGCUAAUACCGCAUACGUCCUACGGGAGAAAGCAGGGGAUCUUCGGACCUUGCGCUCAUAGAUGAGCCUAAGUCGGAUUAGCUAGUUGGUGGGGUAAAGGCCUACCAAGGCGACGAUCUGUAGCGGGUCUGAGGGGAUGAUCCGCCACACUGGGACUGAGACACGGCCCAGACUCCUACGGGAGGCAGCAGUGGGGAAUAUUGGACAAUGGGGGGAACCCUGAUCCAGCCAUGCCGCGUGUGUGAAGAAGGCCUUAUGGUUGUAAAGCACUUUAAGCGAGGAGGAGGCUACUGAGACUAAUACUCUUGGAUAGUGGACGUUACUCGCAGAAUAAGCACCGGCUAACUCUGUGCCAGCCGCCGCAGUAACAC
rnacentral:rRNA from 1 species